CGAGCGGACAGAUGGGAGCUUGCUCCCUGAUGUUAGCGGCGGACGGGUGAGUAACACGUGGGUAACCUGCCUGUAAGACUGGGAUAACUCCGGGAAACCGGGGCUAAUACCGGAUGCUUGUUUGAACCGCAUGGUUCAGACAUAAAAGGUGGCUUCGGCUACCACUUACAGAUGGACCCGCGGCGCAUUAGCUAGUUGGUGAGGUAACGGCUCACCAAGGCGACGAUGCGUAGCCGACCUGAGAGGGUGAUCGGCCACACUGGGACUGAGACACGGCCCAGACUCCUACGGGAGGCAGCAGUAGGGAAUCUUCCGCAAUGGACGAAAGUCUGACGGAGCAACGCCGCGUGAGUGAUGAAGGUUUUCGGAUCGUAAAGCUCUGUUGUUAGGGAAGAACAAGUGCCGUUCAAAUAGGGCGGCACCUUGACGGUACCUAACCAGAAAGCCACGGCUAACUACGUGCCAGCAGCCGCGGUAAUACGUAUGUGGCAAGCGUUGUCCGGAAUUAUUGGGCGUAAAGGGCUCGCAGGCGGUUUCUUAAGUCUGAUGUGAAAGCCCCCCGGCUCAACCGGGGAGGGUCAUUGGAAACUGGGGAACUUGAGUGCAGAAGAGGAGAGUGGAAUUCCACGUGUAGCGGUGAAAUGCGUAGAGAUGUGGAGGAACACCAGUGGCGAAGGCGACUCUCUGGUCUGUAACUGACGCUGAGGAGCGAAAGCGUGGGGAGCGAACAGGAUUAGAAUACGCUGUAGUCCACGCCGUAAACGAUGAGUGCUAAGUGUUAGGGGGG
rnacentral:rRNA from 1 species